GACGAACGCUGGCGGCGUGCUUAACACAUGCAAGUCGAGCGGUAAGGCCCUUCGGGUACGACGAGCGGCGAACGGGUGAGUAACACGUGGGUGACCUGCCUCUAGCUCUGGGAUAAGCCUGGGAAACUGGGUCUAAUACCGGAUAUGACUCCACGGCGCAUGUUGUGGGGUGGAAAGCCUUGUGCGGCUAGAGAUGGGCCCGCGGCCUAUCAGCUUGUUGGUGGGGUGAUGGCCUACCAAGGCGACGACGGGUAGCCGGCCUGAGAGGGCGACCGGCCACACUGGGACUGAGACACGGCCCAGACUCCUACGGGAGGCAGCAGUGGGGAAUUUUGGACAAUGGGCGAAAGCCUGAUCCAGCCAUGCCGCGUGUGUGAAGAAGGCC
rnacentral:rRNA from 1 species